UGGCUCAAACGGUAUAGAAUCUGCCUGCAAUGCAGGAGACCUGGGUUCGAUCCCCAG
rfam:Ovis aries breed Texel chromosome 13, whole genome shotgun sequence.